ACAACAUUCGGACCGUCGGUCUACUGAGCGAUAUCACGCGCUCGGUGGAAGAUAUGAAGAUACUUUCCUUUGGUCGU
rnacentral:pre_miRNA from 1 species